UACGAAGGGGGCUAGCGUUGUUCGGAAUUACUGGGCGUAAAGCGCGCGCAGGCGGUCUUCCAAGUCAGUGGUGAAAGCCCGGAGCUCAACUCCAGAACUGCCUUUGAUACUGAGGAUCUUGAGUUCGGGAGAGGUGAGUGGAACUGCGAGUGUAGAGGUGAAAUUCGUAGAUAUUCGCAAGAACACCAGUGGCGAAGGCGGCUCACUGGCCCGAUACUGACGCUGAGGCACGAAAGCGUGGGGAGCAAACAGG
rnacentral:rRNA from 1 species